AACGAACGCUGGCGGCACGUUUUAAGCAUGCAAGUCGAACGGUAACGGGCCUUCGGGUGCCGACGAGUGGCGAACGGGUGAGUAAUACAUCGGAACGUGCCCGAUCGUGGGGGAUAACGAGGCGAAAGCUUUGCUAAUACUGCAUACGAUCUACGGAUGAAAGCAGGGGACCGCAAGGCCUUGCGCGGACGGAGCGGCCGAGGGCAGAUUAGGUAGUUGGUGGGAUAAAAGCUUACCAAGCCGACGAUCUGUAGCUGGUCUGAGAGGAUGAUCAGCCACGCUGGGACUGAGACACGGCCCAGACUCCUACCGGAGGCAGCAGUGGGGAAUUUUGGACAAUGGGCGCCAGCCGGAUCCAGCCAUGCCGCGUGCAGGAUGAAGGCCUUCGGGUUGUAAACUGCUUUUGUACGGAACGAAAAGCCUUCUUCUAAUACAGGAGGGUCAUGACGGUACCGUAAGAAUAAGCACCGGCUAACUACGUGCCAGCAGCCGCCGUAA
rnacentral:rRNA from 1 species